AAUGUUACAACCAGACACUUCAGCAACUGAAAUACAGUUUUUUUUGGACUAUGCAGGUGGCAGCCCCACACCCAGAUAUGUAGGAUCAGACACCAUUACCUGGCUGGACAAUCCAGGAGGUCCCCAGAAAGCAACGUGAAAAAUGUAAUUGAAGAAUGUGCCCAAGUCUACAAUUCCUGAGUUACAAGUGCCUUACAACCACCUCAAAUUACACAGCAAAGAAAGAGCUGAAAGGAAGCACCUCCUUGAUUUCCACACAGCAUCCCUCCCCUAUUGUCUGGGGCCUGGCAAGUUAAGCCCCGAACAGGUUUAAGUAGCAGUUGUCAUCAUUAAAGAAGCUGCUCCCCUCCCACUCUCCAUUCUCCCAGGAAAGGAGCAUCCUGGCAGCACCAGGCACAGGCUGAACAAGCCCAGCUCUCCCAGCCUGUCAAGGUACGCCAAACAUCAAAGGAGGAAAAUACACUCUGAAUCUUAAAUAGCUGGAGAGGCAGAAGCCAUGUCUGCUGGAGCAGGGAGCUACGCACUUACGCAACCCUGGCUGAGAGUCAUCCCGGAUCCAGACCUCAAACGCCCCACUGGCACCAGCAGCAGCAGCUCAAGUUGGAACUUGAGCUUUCAACAGCGCUGAGCUGUUCCACACCAGGCAGAAAACGCAGCUCCAGCCCCUCAGUGC